GACGAACGCUGGCGGCGCGCUUAAUACAUGCAAGUCGAACGAGAAGCCAGAGCUUGCUCUGGUGGAAAGUGGCGAACGGGUGAGUAACACGUGAGAAACCCUGCCCCAAAGAUUGGGAUAAGCCUUGGAAACGAGGUCUAAUACCAAAUACCUUCUUUUUAACACAUGUUAAAAAGAAGAAAUGCUCCGGCGCUUUGGGAUGGUCUCGCGAUCUAUCAGCUUGUUGGUGAGGUAACGGCUCACCAAGGCAUCGACGGAUAGCUGGUCUGAGAGGAUGUCCAGCCACAUUGGAACUGAGACACGGUCCAAACUCCUACGGGAGGCAGCAGUAGGGAAUCUUGCACAAUGAGGGAAACCUUGAUGCAGCGACGCCGCGUGCGGGACGAAGGCCCUAGGGUUGUAAACCGCUUUCAGUAGGGACGAAAGUGACGGUACCUACAGAAGAAGCCCCGGCAAC
rnacentral:rRNA from 1 species